AGAGCUGCCGCCAUUUUGCGGGAAGAGGAGCCGCUGUACCUGCAGUGCUGCUUUUCUUGCCUAGACUCUAGGAACUAUCCGAGCUCCACUCCCCACAACAUACUCAAAGGAACGGAGAGAACCAGGACCCCCCUGCGGGGACCCGGAACUGAUCUGACAGGAUGGCAUCUGAUGACUUUGACAUAGUGAUUGAGGCCAUGCUGGAAGCUCCCUAUAAAAAAGAAGAGGAUGAGCAACAAAGGAAAGAAGUUAAAAAGGAUUAUCCUAGCAAUACCACCAGCAGCACCAGCAACAGUGGCAAUGAGACCAGUGGAAGCAGCACCAUCGGGGAGACAAGCAACAAUAACGAAACCUUCUCUUUAAGAAUUUACACUCCUGACCUGGCGCGGUGCUCACGCGGGGCUCAUGCAUGUAAUCCCAGCACUUUGGGAGGCUGAGGCAGGUGGAUCACUUGAGGCUAGGGGUUCAAGAUGAACCUGGCCAACAUAGCGAAACCUUGUCUCUACUAAAAAUAUAAAAAAUUAGCUGGGCAUGAUGGUACAUGCCUGU
rnacentral:sRNA from 1 species